UACGUAGGGUGCAAGCGUUGUCCGGAAUUAUUGGGCGUAAAGAGCUCGUAGGCGGUCUGUCGCGUCGGAUGUGAAAAUCCAGGGCUCAACCCUGGACCUGCAUUCGAUACGGGCAGACUAAAGUUCGGCAGGGGAGACUGGAAUUCCUGGUGUAGCGGUGAAAUGCGCAGAUAUCAGGAGGAACACCAGCGGCGAAGGCGGCGCUCUGGGCCGGUACUGACACUGAGGAGCGAAAGCGUGGGUAGCAAACAGG
rnacentral:rRNA from 1 species